GAGACUGUGCUCUCUCAGCCAUGGGUCUUCAGAUGCUUUCCCACGGCCCCGGUCCUUGAAGGGUGGCUUGCCCCGCCCUCGGCUGCAUUCCCACCAUGCCUUUACCUGCUGCUUCUGCUCUGGAGACAGGAGUCUUCCAUCUUUGCCACCCACGGUGAUGCUUCCUAGAUGAAAGCGAUCUAGGAAGGAAGGUGGACUCAUUUUGAUUCCAGGUUUGAAGGUAUCUUCAUCUUGGUGGUGCAGGCAUGGGCGUGCCCAUGUGAGUCGGCUGGUCACAGCCUCUCCUCAGCCGGGAAGCAGAGAGAGACGGACUGCAGCAUGGAAACAAUAGUACCCGAGUGGACUUUACGUGAUGGCUGUGAGAAUGAGUUAAUGUGACUGGACAGGAACCUGGAAGGAGCCUGGCUGCAGAAGGAGUUGUUCUGGGAGGAAGAAUGUCAAGUGCACAAAAGGCACAGAGAAUGAAAUACUUGGCAGACAACAGAGAGGAGAGACUGCUGCUCACACCUGGUUCCGUUUCCCCUGCGACCUCCAGCCAUUCCCAGACAACUGAGGUGAAGAGAUGCCACAAUGCGCUGAAUUAAAAUUGCAGAGGAUACACGAGAAAAACAUGGCUUUCAGAAAAAAAACAACCAAGCAGAACAAGUAGGCCAUCCCAGGGAGCUGCGAAUCAGCGAAUCAGCGACACUGCCUUCUGCAAGCCUAGCUUGUUUUAUUUGUUUAUCUUGAUAAGAUGCUAAGAGGUUGGUGAGGUUUAAAUCACUGUGCUGCCCAUCUUAAAUUCAAGAAUCUAGAAUCACUGACAAGGAGGACCAGGCCUGCAUCUCCCAUCUGCCUGUACGAAAAGAAAAAGACCUCCAAAUUGGUGAUAGUGGCUACAGGGUGUGACAGUGCUGUCUAGAGUAGAACCCAAGUCAGCCCUAAGUGUCCUGAAAGUUGUCCAAUGCACUUUAAUCAGUGUGUCAAUUUUAAAUGUUCUGAUCACUUUGGUUACUGGAAAGUACUUUUUUUAAAACAUAUAUAACAUAUGUAACAAUAUA
rnacentral:lncRNA from 1 species